CGGCAGAGUCUUGAUUUAUAGCCAGGUGUCUCUAACCGCAAGGCCCGUUUGUCUUCCUCUGGGACAGAGAGGAUGAGUUAUAAAGGAGAAUUAAAAUGAUUUGUCCAGUGGUGAAAUCAGGGCUUUGGAGACUGGCUUGGGUCCCCCCAGGGGCCAGGCCACCAUUCCCGCAGUCAGGGCGGCUCUGCGCAUCUCCCUCCUGAGAGAGGAGACUGCAUACCCGCCCUGGUCUGCUGUGGCCUGGCAUUGACCUCUCAGAUGCCACCAAGCACGCAGGGCCUCAGCUCCUUAGAGGGGCUGCUUCCCACCCAACAAAGGCUUCAUGCGUCCUGGAGUCCACCCCUCCAGCUCUGCCUUCAAGCCUUUGAGUCAGACAGUUGCUCUUUCCAUUUGAACUGUGCUCCCGGAUGUUAGAUGUAGCCAGGCCAGACCCCUGGGUGGCCAGGGGAAAGUGCAAUGGCCCCUGGGAACAGAAGACACAGUCCCAGCCCCGGGGAAGGACCUCCCUGCAGGUCUGGAAGCUGGUGCAUACGCCUGAGACACAGUCAAGCCACAGUGCAUCACAGUGGAAACAUUAACACGGAGAUUUGUCAACAGGUGUUCAUGGCAAAGUAGACCAGACUAGACUGGAUGGCCAGGGAGUCUGGAGCAAGGGGUGUCGGAAGAGAGGUCAGGAGAGAAUUCCAGAAAGGUGUUUAGCCUUGAGUAUGCAUACAAAGAAAGAGGGGGCAUAGACAGAUUGACUGCGUGCGUAUGUAUUAAGUCACUUCAGUCGUGUUCAACUCUGUGCAACCCUAUGGACCGUAGUCUGCCGGGCUCCUCUGUCCAUGGAAUUCUUCAGGCAAGAAUACUAGAGUGGGAUGCUGUGACCUCCUCCGAGGGAUCUUCCCAACACAGGGAUGGAACGCAGGCAGGACGAGAAGGGGGCGGCAGAGGAUGAGAUGGCUGGAUGGUGUCACCGGCUCAAUGGACAUGAGCUUGAACAACCUUCAGGAGAUAGUGAAGGACAGGGAAUCCUGGCGUGCUGCAGCCCACGGGGUCACAGAGAGGUGGACACAACUUAGUGGCUGGACAAUAACAUGCUGAGGCCAACAGAUCGGGAGGUGAACACAGCACUCCUGCCAGCAGACUUCAAACUCCAUAAAUUACAGCUUUUUUUUCCCCUCCAGUCCAUUUGGAAAAAGUGAAAUGAACAAAUGAAGACAGGAGCGAAAUUAAAAGAUAAUUGGAAGUCUAUAUCAGGCUUCUGUGGAUGUGCGCACACGCCGCCAAUCUGGUCUCUCUGUGCGGGCAGGAUAAAUUGAGAACUCUUUGGCUGGCUCAGGGGGUGGAUAAAACAGAGACAAAUGCGUGCCAUGCAAAUAAACGACCCAUCUUCCCGUGACUGGCUUUGCGUCCCCCUGCUGGCGCCUCCUCUGGUCCCCUCGGUCUGACGGGCCUGUGUGUUCCAAGGUGGAAGUCGAUCCCAG
ensembl:lncRNA